rnacentral:rRNA from 1 species
GAUGAACGCUGGCGGCGUGCUUAACACAUGCAAGUCGAACGGAAAGGCCCAAGCUUGCUUGGGUACUCGAGUGGCGAACGGGUGAGUAACACGUGGGUGAUCUGCCCUGCACUUCGGGAUAAGCCUGGGAAACUGGGUCUAAUACCGGAUAGGACGAUGGUUUGGAUGCCAUUGUGGAAAGUUUUUUCGGUGUGGGAUGAGCUCGCGGCCUAUCAGCUUGUUGGUGGGGUAAUGGCCUACCAAGGCGUCGACGGGUAGCCGGCCUGAGAGGGUGUACGGCCACAUUGGGACUGAGAUACGGCCCAGACUCCUACGGGAGGCAGCAGUGGGGAAUAUUGCACAAUGGGCGCAAGCCUGAUGCAGCGACGCCGCGUGGGGGAUGACGGCCUUCGGGUUGUAGACUCCUUUCGCUAGGGACGAAGCGUUUUUGUGACGGUACCUGGAGAAGAAGCACCGGCUAACUACGUG